AUUGAAAGCUGGCGGCAGGCCUAACACAUGCAACUCGAGCGAGCGGCGGACGAGUGAGUAAUACCUGGGAAUUUCCCAGUCGAGGGGGAUAACAGUUGGAAACGACUGAUAAUACCGCAGAAGAGUUGAUUGCCCAGGUGGGAUUAGCGAGUUGGUUAGGUAAUGGCUCACCAAGGCGACGAUCCCUAGCUGGUCUGAGAGUAUUAUCAGUCACACCGGAAUUGAGACACGGUCCCUACUCCUACUGGAGGCAGCAGUGGGGAAUAUUGCACAAGGUGGUAAACCCUGCUUCAGCCAUGCCGCGGGUGUGAAGAAGGCCUUCGGGUUGUAAAGCCCUUUCAGCGAGGAGGCUUUACUCGCCGAAGAAGCCCCGGCUAACUCCGUGCCAGCAGCCGCGGUAAUUC
rnacentral:rRNA from 1 species